AGAGUUUGAUCCUGGCUCAGGACAAACGCUGGCGGCGUGCGUAACACAUGCAAGUCGAACGAGCCGGGAGACCGGCGAGUGGCGGACGGGUGAGGAACACGUGGAUAACCGACCCGGGACUGGGGAAUACCAGGACGAAAGUUCUGUUAAUACCGCAUACGCUGGGGACAGGAAAGCUCUUCGGAGCGGUCGCGGACGGG
rnacentral:rRNA from 1 species